rnacentral:rRNA from 1 species
GAUAAACGCUGGCGGCGUGCCUAACACAUGCAAGUCGAGCGAUUUACUUCGGUAAAGAGCGGCGGACGGGUGAGUAACGCGUGGGUAACCUGCCCUAUACACACGGAUAACAUACCGAAAGGUAUGCUAAUACGAGAUAAUAUAAGAGAUUCACAUGGAUUUCUUAUCAAAGCUGAGGCGGUAUAGGAUGGACCCGCGUCUGAUUAGCUAGUUGGUAAGGUAACGGCUUACCAAGGCGACGAUCAGUAGCCGACCUGAGAGGGUGAUCGGCCACAUUGGAACUGAGGCACGUUCCAAACUCCUACGGGAGGCAGCAGUGGGGAAUAUUGCACAAUGGGCGAAAGCCUGAUGCAGCAACGCCGCGUGAGUGAUGAAGGUCUUCGGGUCGUAAAACUCUGUCCUCAAGGAAGAUAAUGACGGUACUUGAGGAGGAAGCCCCGGCUAACUACGUGCCAGCCGCCGCAGUAA